GACGAACGCUGGCGGCGUGCCUAAUACAUGCAAGUCGAGCGCAGGAAGCUGACGGAACUCUUCGGAGGGAAGGCAGUGGAAUGAGCGGCGGACGGGUGAGUAACACGUAAGGAACCUGCCUCAAGGAUUGGGAUAACUCUGAGAAAUCGGAGCUAAUACCGGAUAGUUCAACGGACCGCAUGGUCCGCUGAUGAAAGGCGCUCCGGCGUCACCUUGAGAUGGCCUUGCGGUGCAUUAGCUAGUUGGUGGGGUAACGGCUCACCAAGGCGACGAUGCAUAGCCGACCGGAGAGGGUGAUCGGCCAGACUGGGACUGAGACACGGCCCAGACUCCUACGGGAGGCAGCAGUAGGGAAUCUUCCACAAUGGACGAAAGUCUGAUGGGGCAACGCCGCGUGAGUGAUGAAGGUUUUCGGAUCGUAAAACUCUGUUGUAAGGGAAGAACACGUACGAGAGGAAAUGCUCGUACCUUGACGGUACCUUACGAGAAAGCCACGGCUAACUACGUGCCAGCCGCCGCCGUAA
rnacentral:rRNA from 1 species